AUAAGAUUAAAAUGCAUGCUUAUAUGUGAUGAGACCUAAAACCCUCAACCAAACCAUUAUUAAGUUGAUAAGCAUGAGAGUGCUUUGAACACUCUUUCGUGGCCUUCCACCGUGAUAGGUUUCGAUCGUUUGUGACUCGUACACCGACUUCACCCUAUCAUGGGGGAGUACAAAGUACGUGCUUACACUCAGGAUGAGUUCUAUAUGCAUACAUGAUGUUGUGAAGGUAGGCAACGAGAAUGAUCAACAUCAUAUCAUUGUGAGGUUGUUCUUGAACCCCUACUCGAACUUGCAUGGUGGGAAUGACUUAACUAAGUGCAAUGGAGCCAACAUCAUAUCAUUGUGAGGCUUCAUUCUCUAGAGGCCAAAUAAGAUGGGUACUUGCAAGAGAUUCAAAUGAGUAAGCAUACUCUCUCAUUAUUAUUGAUGGUAGCCAACAUCAUAUCAUUGUGAGGUGGGCUUGGUAAUGGUGAGUCUCCCAUACCCUACUAAGAGUUUCCUCCAAACUCUCGAAUUCCAAUGAGGGAUAUGGAAUUUGCCAAAAAUAGUGGGUGGUGCUAUUUGAUUUAAAGAUCCAGAUCAAAUGGUUUAAAAUCAAUCAAUUUAUAUUCGUUAUGUAUUUAUUUACCAAUAUAUUUACAAACGCUAUCCAAAACUUGACAAAGAAAAAGCCGAAAGCUUUAGUUUCCGGACUUGGUACUACAAUCCCAUAGAUUGUCUCUAAUGGCUUGUAUAUGUACCUAAGUAGUCUCAUCCUCACAAACUUCCUAUUGAUAAUGUAUCAUUGGAAGAACAGGUUAGAUAAGUCUAUCAUAAAGAGGACAACACUUUUAAUGUCAUAAUUCUUCAAUUACAAAUUGUUGUAUGAAGAAGUAAAAGUUGCUUUGAACAACUCUUAGUUAACGCAAACAUUAGUGCUUGUUUCUUUGUUACAUGAACAAGGAACUUGAGAAGUAAGCACAAGGGCAUAGACACUUUAUGUGCCAUGAUUCUUCACUUACAAAUUGUUGUAUGAAGAAAUGAGAGUUGCCUUGAACAACUCUUGAAAGUUUGUAAUUAUGUUUAGAACAUAAUGGUUGGUUGACAAAAAUAGUCCAUCAACAUGGACUUAUGAUGAUUUUGAAUCAUUGAGUGUUGAAGUGUUAAACCACUUUACGAGACGGAAACUAGGCAAGGACUUCACUUUUGUGUCCCUAUCCAAAUGGUUCACUAAGUUUAUUGUAAACUAUAUAGCGAACAAUAACCACACGCUCUCCAAAUUGAUUGAUGUGUAUAACACAAUUGAAAUAAGUUUCAAGAGAGAUAGUGGGAGUUUAGGGACCAUGACUAUUGUAGUCAAAGGAGAAGUCAAAUGAAGAAGGCGAAAUAACUCCAAGGGAACAAACUUUCUUUAUGAAAUGAUGGACAUUGGAAGGGGUAUUUGCAAGAAAUGUCUUGCAAGUGUCAAGAACACACCUUUCGAAGGUGUUGUAAAUUGUUCUUGAAUAGUUCAAAACAGUUGGUUCUUCUACUUGAACGAUUGAUUCCGUAUUAGUAACUAUGUUUUACAAUCGUUGUAAAAGUGUGGCUAAUAAGAAGUAAAAGAUUAAUGAGAGAAGAGAAAGUACUUCACAUUCGGAACGUGAAUCAAAUGUAGAUCUCUGCGAAAGCAGGUAGUACUUACUUCCUCAUAUGAACAACCAAAGAAAAUGGAAAAACAAAGAUUAUCUUUACAUUCCAAUUGAAUAAAGGAACUUAAUUCCAUAUGAGAAAUGGAUAAAUGUUUUGUUCGACAAAACAUUGUUCUUUAUUAAUGAAUGAUUAGAUUAUUGUAAUCUAAUUGAUUAUCUAUAGUAGAGAUGAUAUGGUAGUGUUAACUGUUUAGAAUAUAACAAUGCUUAAAACCCAAAAGGUUGCAAGGUAGUGACUAAUCCCAACUGAGUUGUGAUACCUCUAGAACAUAAAUUAUGAGUUGGUCAUAGAUGGAUGUUUUGGAUCAUUAGAUCCGGAUCCAAUGCCUUCUUGUUAAAAAUGUAUAGAGGCAAAAUGUUUGAAUCUUUAUUCUUUUGGAAAGGAAGAAAGAAUCACAAAGUUGUUGAGAUUGAUUCACUUAGAUGUUAGUGGCAUUUGUCCACAACAUAAUACUACUCAUAUUGUAUAACAUUCACUGAAGAUCGCUCUCUGUUGGACUAUCGUUUAUUUUGAAUAAACACAAGUCCGAAUACUUUGCAAAAGGUCAAAGAAUUCAAGAAUGUAAGUUGAUGAGUAAGACAUCUAAAAGUAUUUACCUCCUUAGAUUUGAUCCGAAAAAAGGUAACACUUUAGAACAGUUUUCUUGAAAGAUAUCAAGGAAAGAAGCAUCAUAAGAUAAUGGAUUUCUCCAUUAGGAGAAGAACGAACUUGAAUAAGAUUUAGGUUGUUGGAUGUUAUCAAUUACCCAUAUAUAGGAUAUAUAUUUCUAAGACAAUAUGAUUGUCAAUUAGAAGAUCUUCCAAAAUUUUCAUGACUCCAUAGGAUGUAGUUGGAAAGAAAGAUAAGUCUUAAUCGUGUUAAGAUUUGGGGUUAUGUGCUAAAAAACAAUAUUUGUUUGAGAAUUAUCCUGUGGAUAUCCUUAAAUUAACCUUUGGAUAUCACUUCUAUAAACCAACUAACAAAUGUUGUUUUGUUGGGUAGUUCAUUGUAAUCCUACAAUAUGAUUUGCCUAAGCGCAAGUGAGCGAGAGAUAGAACUCAAAGAAUGGGUUCUUUGAGAGACAAGAUGGUAAUCAAAAUAUAACAACCUAGUUCCUACACCACAAGCUCCAAGGUAGUCGAGAAGGAUUUAUAAACUGUCUCAGUUGAAUGGUUUGAACUUUAUGACUAUGUCAUAGAGUUACACUUCUUAAUUCGAAAGAAAUAAGAAUGAAAAUCCUUAUGACUACAUUGAGUGUACAUACGACAUAUACUCAAGGAAAUGGUAGUGAAACCUUUAAUAGCUAAUUGGUAGCUUAAGGUGACUACAAUCAAAGAGAUUGGUUGACUUGGAAGAAACCAUCUUUGACGUAGUCUUGGUUUCAAUUAAUUCAAAGAUUGCUAGCUAUAACUAAAUGGUGAUUCAAUGUUUGGACAUAAUAUGGGUUUCUGAAACCAUUAUUAAGAUAGUCUUGAUAAUAUAUGUCUAAAACUAUGAAUCACAAGACAUGUAAGUUGUAGAGAUCCAUCCAUCAUGAAUCUUAGCAAGCUAGUGGGAGCUAUAAGCGUCUUAUGAGAGAAAGAUCAAAUCGUUUGAUUUCUCAUAAAGAUAUAAAUGAAUCUUUUGUUUACUAGGUUUACAAAAGAUUAGUGGGAGUCGAUCAUGUUCCUAAAUUUGAAUAUAUACAUAUAUGAUAUAUUAAUUCUGGAAAUGAAAAGAAUACUUCUUCGUUAAAGUUAUGACUUUAAACAUUCUAUAACGAUAGAGACUAUAUGGGAGACAUAGUCUAUAAACAUGGGAUGGAAAUCUAUAAUGAUAGAUUUCAGGAUAUAAUU
rnacentral:lncRNA from 1 species